UAAAAAUUUAGGUUUAACUAAACCAGGGGCCUUCAAAGCCCACAAAAAGGGUGUAAACCCCUUAAUUUUU
rnacentral:tRNA from 1 species